rnacentral:rRNA from 1 species
AGUGAACGCUGGCGGUAGGCCUAACACAUGCAAGUCGAACGGCAGCACAGGAGAGCUUGCUCUCUGGGUGGCGAGUGGCGGACGGGUGAGGAAUACAUCGGAAUCUACCUUUUUCGUGGGGGAUAACGUAGGGAAACUUACGCUAAUACCGCAUACGACCUACGGGUGAAAGUGGGGACCGGCAAGGCCUCACGCGAUUAGAUGAGCCGAUGUCCGAUUAGCUAGUUGGCGGGGUAAUGGCCCACCAAGGCGACGAUCGGUAGCUGGUCUGAGAGGAUGAUCAACCACACUGGAACUAAGACACGGUCCAGACUCCUACGGGAGGCAGCAGUGGGGAAUAUUGGACAAUGGGCGCAAGCCUGAUCCAGCCAUACCGCGUGGGUGAAGAAGGCCUUCGGGUUGUAAAGCCCUUUUGUUGGGAAAAGAAAUCCUAUCGGUUAAUAACCGGUGGGGAUGACGGUACCCAAAGGAAUAAGCACCGGCUAACUUCGUGCCAGCAGCCGCGGUAAUACGAAGGGUGCAAGCGUUACUCGGAAUUACUGGGCGUAAAGCGUGCGUAGGUGGUGGUUUAAGUCUGCUGUGAAAGCCCUGGGCUCAACCUGGGAAUUGCAGUGGAUACUGGGUCACUAGAGUGUGGUAGAGGGAUGCGGAAUUUCUGGUGUAGCAGUGAAAUGCGUAGAGAUCAGAAGGAACAUCCGUGG